AGCAGCCGCGGUAAUUCCAGCUCCAAUAGCGUAUAUUAAAGUUGUUGCAGUUAAAAAGCUCGUAGUUGAAUUUUGGAUUCUUCCAAUUGGUCCAUCUUUUAGAUGAGUACUGGUUGUGUGGGGUCUAUCCGCCUGGUGAUACGUAAUGUCCUUUAUUGGAUGUUGCGGGUAGUCAGGACCUUUACCUUGAAAAAAUUAGAGUGUUUAAAGCAGGCUUAUGCCGGAAUACAUUAGCAUGGAAUAAUAGAAUAGGACGAAGUUGUUUUAUUUUGUUGGUUUCUAGGACAACCGUAAUGAUUAAUAGGGAUAGUUGGGGGCAUUAGUAUUCAAUUGUCAGAGGUGAAAUUCUUGGAUUUAUUGAAGACUAACUACUGCGAAAGCAUUUGCCAAGGAUGUUUUCAUUAAUCAAGAACGAAAGUUAGGGGAUCGAAGACGAUCAGAUACCGUCGUAGUCUUAACCAUAAACUAUGCCGACUAGGGAUCGGGCGAUGUUGUUUCCAUGACUCGCUCGGCACCUUAUGG
rnacentral:rRNA from 1 species